rnacentral:rRNA from 1 species
CCCUUAUGUCUAGGGCUUCACACAUGCUACAAUGGCUAGUACAGAGGGCUGCGAUACCGUGAGGUGGAGCGAAUCCCUUAAAGCUGGUCUCAGUUCGGAUUGGGGUCUGCAACUCGACCCCAUGAAGUCGGAGUCGCUAGUAAUCGCAGAUCAGCAACGCUGCGGUGAAUACGUUCCC